AUUGAACGCUGGCGGCAGGCUUAACACAUGCAAGUCGAGCGGGGGAAGGUAGCUUGCUACCGGACCUAGCGGCGGACGGGUGAGUAAUGCUUAGGAAUCUGCCUAUUAGUGGGGGACAACAUCUCGAAAGGGAUGCUAAUACCGCAUACGUCCUACGGGAGAAAGCAGGGGAUCUUUGGACCUUGCGCUAAUAGAUGAGCCUAAGUCGGAUUAGCUAGUUGGUGGGGUAAAGGCCUACCAAGGCGACGAUCUGUAGCGGGUCUGAGAGGAUGAGCCGCCACACUGGGACUGAGACACGGCCCAGACUCCUACGGGAGGCAGCAGUGGGGAAUAUUGGACAAUGGGGGGAACCCUGAUCCAGCCAUGCCGCGUGUGUGAAGAAGGCCUUAUGGUUGUAAAGCACUUUAAGCGAGGAGGAGGCUACUUUAGUUAAUACCUAGAGAUAGUGGACGUUACUCGCAGAAUAAGCACCGGCUAACUCUGUGCCAGCAGCCGCCGUAA
rnacentral:rRNA from 1 species